rnacentral:rRNA from 1 species
GGGAUUGCCCUAGUAACGGCGAGUGAAGCGGCAAUAGCUCAAAUUUGAAAGCUGGCCUCUGGUCCGCAUUGUAAUUUGUAGAGGAUGCUUUUAGGCAGCCGCCGGUCUAAGUUCCUUGGAACAGGACGUCAUAGAGGGUGAGAAUCCCGUAUGUGACCGGCUCAGGCACCUUCUGUAAAGCUCCUUCGACGAGUCGAGUUGUUUGGGAAUGCAGCUCUAAAUGGGAGGUAAAUUUCUUCUAAAGCUAAAUACCGGCGAGAGACCGAUAGCGCACAAGUAGAGUGAUCGAAAGAUGAAAAGCACUUUGGAAAGAGAGUUAAAAAGCACGUGAAAUUGUUGAAAGGGAAGCGCUUGCAAUCAGACUUGGCCUCGAGUGUUCAACCGGUCUUCUGACCGGCCUAUUCAUUCGGGGCCAGGCCAGCAUCAGUUUCGGCGGCCGGAUAAAGGCCUUGGGAAUGUGGCUUUUCCUUCGGGGGAAGUGUUAUAGCCCAGGGUGUAAUACGGCCAGCUGGGACUGAGGUCCGCGCUUCGGCUAGGAUGCUGGCGUAAUGGUUGUAAGCGG